rnacentral:rRNA from 1 species
AGCAGCCGCGGUAAUUCCAGCUCCAAUAGCGUAUAUUAAAGUUGUUGCAGUUAAAAAGCUCGUAGUUGAAUUUCGGAAUCAAUAUGUUGGUCGUGCCUUGGUACGUACUAAUUUAUUGGUUUCUUCCUUCUGACGAACCAUGAUGUCAUUAAUUUGGUGUCUUGGGGAAUCAGGACUGUUACUUUGAAAAAAUUAGAGUGUUUAAAGCAGGCUCACGCUUGAAUACAUUAGCAUGGAAUAAUGAAAUAGGACGUUUGAUUCUAUUUUGUUGGUUUCUAGGAUCGACGUAAUGAUUAAUAGGGAUAGUUGGGGGCAUUAGUAUUCAAUUGUCAGAGGUGAAAUUCUUGGAUUUAUUGAAGACUAACUACUGCGAAAGCAUUUGCCAAGGAUGUUUUCAUUAAUCAAGAACGAAAGUUAGGGGAUCGGAAGACGAUCAGAUA